UCAAAAAAAAAAAAAAAAAUACAUGUUUUGUGUUAUGAGUACGUCUGCUAUGCUUUUGAAAGUAUUGAAGGUCUCUAUAUUUGUAAGUUAUUUUGGACGAUGGAAUAUCAAAGAGUCUAAAAAAUAAUUAUUUUAAUGACCUAUGUUCCACAUUCAUAGAUUUAACAGUGUAGAACAAUCCAAAUUAUCUAAAAUUUUAUUAAAAAAAUCUACUUACCAUCAAGAGCAAAAUCAAUGAUUCUGAUUUGAAAUUUAAGUUUUUUAUCACUAUUUUUUAUGAGUUUUUUUAUUUUCAGUUAUUUAUUUGGAGACUACUCAUUCAUUAGGUAAGUGUAGUAAAAAAAUUAUAAAAUUUUGUUUCUACAUAGCUCUAACACUAUAAAUCAUGUCUAUUAAAAUGGAUUGCCAAAUACCAAAUUUAAUAUCCUAUCAUCGAAAUAAACUUAUAAGCACGGAAACCUCUAUACUUUUUUAGGCUCCGUUUGGUUGGAGUCUUGGCGGUAUAAGCGGGGAUAACAAAAGUUAUCCCCCCUAUUCCGCCAAACGAAAUAAUUUUUGGCCGGAAUAUUUUAUCCCGGUCAAACUUUGCUAUUCCUGGCUAUCCCGGAAUAGCUUGGGAUUUCUUUUUUUUUGAGAAAGAGGUAGACGGGCUACCUGCUUCAUUCAUUGAUAAAUAGCUUGGGAUUUCUUAUUCCACUACUUUGAUGGAAUAGUGCUGUUCCAAUGUUUAAUUUCAAAUUUUAUUAAAAUUAUAAAUUAAAUUAAAACUAAAUUAUAUAAAUGUAAUAUGUUAUAUGUUAUAAUAUAUUAUUUUUAUUAUAAAAUUAAUUAAUUGUACUAUAUUAAUAUAUAUAUUAUUUAUAUUUAAAUAUUAAAUAUUAUAAUAAAUUUUAUUUAAAUAUUAUAAAAUAUUAUUUUUAUUAAAUUUAAGUUUAAGUAGAAUUUU
rnacentral:lncRNA from 1 species